rnacentral:rRNA from 1 species
CAGUCGCCGCGGUAAAACGAAGGGGGCUAGCGUUGUUCGGAUUUACUGGGCGUAAAGCGCACGUAGGCGGAUCGAUCAGUCAGGGGUGAAAUCCUGGAGCUCAACUCCAGAACUGCCUUUGAUACUGUCGAUCUCGAGUCCGGAAGAGGUGAGUGGAACUCCUAGUGUAGAGGUGGAAUUCGUAGAUAUUAGGAAGAACACCAGUGGCGAAGGCGGCUCACUGGUCCGGUACUGACGCUGAGGUGCGAAAGCGUGGGGAGCAAACAGGAUUAGAUACUCCAGUAGUCCCUGUCUCUUAUAC